rnacentral:rRNA from 1 species
UUGUAUGCCUAUAACAUAGAGUUAAUGCAUCAGAUCCCAUUAGAAUUCCCCAGUUAAGCGUGCUCGGGCUAGAGUAGUACUGGGAUGGGCGACCACCUGGGAAUUCCUAGUGUUUUACAUG